rnacentral:lncRNA from 1 species
CUUUAUCCCUCAGAAGGAAAGCUUUUCCCUAUCCCCUUUUCCUGUGCUAAAUAUUUUAUCCAUGCCUAAUAGCAUGCUUGACUCCACGACUAACCAGUGCAGAGUUAGUGCUAAACCUUGUGAUUUCAUGUAGUUUCUGGUAUAUGCUUAGUAGGCAUACAUUUUGAGUUACCUUGUGUUUUAAUAAAUAACCUUUUGUUAUCAGAGUUUUCUUUUUUUUUUCAGAGUUUUCUAUAAAGGGUUAUAAUUUGGAAUCACUGAAUCAAAUAGGUUUUUCCUAAAUUCUAGUGAUGUAGUGAGAACAUUGAGACAUUUAUAUUUUAUAUAAUUACUCCUCAGACCUAUUCUAAGAUGACAUAAAAAUGUGCAUGUAGGGAGGAUUCUGAUGUGCUUUACAUGACACAGAAUGUGUUGUGGGAGAAUUCAGGAUUUUUAUAAAAGCAUGUUAGAUUGUUAUUAAAAUAUAUGUAAGGGCAAAUACAUUCUACUCAAUCUAAAAUACCAUGAAAAUGGUUUCUGGCUUAGCUUGCUUACUAGUUUAACAAAUAGUAUUAAUUGUGUGUCAAUAUAUGGCACAUUCGAAGUAUGGUGUAACUGCUUGGUAUAGCAAAUGCUAGGAAACCCUUUUGGAUAGCUACUGUAAUUUUCCAUGUUUUACAGAUGAGGAAUUGGUUGCAAAGAAAGGCUAAGUACCUUUCCCAAGGUCACACAGCCUAGUACGUAUGACCCAUAUAGGUCUUGUAUAGGAGUUUGUUAAAAUGGCUGUAUAGUCGUGGUAAAUAGAUCAUCUAGUUGUGGUCCACUAGCUUAAUUGAAUAAACUUACGAGCAAAGCUAAGGCUGAACCUUUACCAGCUAUUUUCAUGGCUUUGAGAUGGUAAAUGCUAAGUGAAACAGGAUUCCCAGUGAACACCUAAUGAGUCUUUUUCACUAUACCCUUUUCAGUAAUGCCUUUCUCAUGUAGCUCUUUUUUAAUAAGAGGAAAGAAAAUAUCACUCUAUUACUAAUUUGUAUUUAGUUGAUUUGAUUGUAUAAUAAUUACUUAGGUGUUUAUAAAUUUGUCUUGUUCAUUAUGCUCUGUUUAUACUGUAAACUUUCAAUCACUCUGCAAUAAACUAAUUAGGUCAUGUUAUUAAUAGGACCAGUGUUUUUAAAAAUUUCUCUUUUGGACAUUUAUAAAAAUGUGCUUAUCUACAGUUAUAAAAAAUAAUUUUAUAGAUACCCUAGGCAGUUUUUAAAAUUAAAAAACUUCAAAGUUCAGUAUAAAAAAUACACAUGCAGACCAGUUCAAAUCAAAUUUUUAUCAUCUUGUCAUAUUUUAUAUUUUAAAAAUUGUAGAUAAAAUUAAAAAUACUCUUUAUUCUGCAUUCUCAUUGCAUUUUCCAUAUACAGUCAACCACCAUCAUGCAAUUAAUGUGCAUAUCGCUUAUUCACUUUUAUGUUGCUUUUACACACACACAAGCACAAACAUAUGGACGUCUAAAAUAUCUAUAAUAUUUUACGUGAUUUUAAAUUUUAUACAAAUUACAUAUCAUGCAAGUAGCAUUCUGCAACAUGCUUUUGUCACUCAACAGUUUUUUCCCCCUCUAUUUUGCGACUAUACACUUUUUUGUCUGUUGUCUCUUUAGUGGUUAUUUAGAUCCUUUUAAACUUUUUGGUAACAAAAGCAGUUCCUAGAACAUACUAAUGAAGGCAAGAAUUGUCUCUCUCAGUCCGAGAGAUAAUCCCAGGCACUUAGGCCUGUGUAUUCGAUGGAUACUUGUGAAAUGAAUAAAUGAAUGACUAAACACUGCAGUCAGCAUCAGUGUCACAUUUGUGCACAUUUGGGGAGUUUCUUUGAGAUACAAAACCAGAAGUGGAAUUGGUAGAUCUUAGGGUAAUAUGACUACUGAUUUCAUUAAAUAAUGCAAUUACUCUCUGAAAUGGCUACAAGUUUAGUCUCUGGUAAUGAGCAUAUGAGAGUUAUCUGUAUACAGCAUUGUUGUAAUAUGAUUUCAUCAGACUUAAAAAUGUUUGCCUAUUUGUCAGAUAAGAUAUCUGUCAUGAUUGUUUUAAUUAUUUACUUUUUUCCUAAUUGUUAGCAAAGUUGUUUUUCUUCGCAAAUGUUCACUAACCAUUUUUUCCUGUCAGUUUUUGCAUCUGAUUUAACAGUACUAUUAUAAUUUAUGAUACAGAAGAACUAAAUGCAGAAUGACAAUAGGUAUGCCAAAUUACAAUUUCAAUUUAUAGAUGAUAAAUUACUAAAUAUUUCACAGUGUAUAGUAAAAUAUUCAUACUGAACUAGUCACUCAAAAACUCCUUAAGCAAUUAUCUUUGUUUCUUUAUCCGUAAUAGUUAUGACUUUAAAUAUAGAUUAUAAGUACCAUGUCUAAGAAGAUAGAAGUCUUGUCCAUGAAUUUUAUUAUACCUGGAACAUAAAUCUCAGGCCCUUGUUCAGCACUUGGCUUCUAGUUUCAGUAAUUGUGAAAUUAAUUUUAUGUACAGUUCUUUGAGAAUUAAACUUAUUCUAUUAACAGCCAUAUAGCAAAUACAUCAUAGUACUGUUAUAUUUUUAAAAUAACUUAAAGCUCAUUAGACAGAAUAUAUACUAAUUUUUAUCAGUACUUUGGGGCAUGAUGAAUUCUGUAGGCUAGUAAUACUAUCGUAAAUCUUUGAUGACAAUAGUAGUGUUUUAAUGUUGUGCAUUAAAACACUAUAUUUUCAUACAAAAGAACUUACAUAUGUAAAAGUUAACAGUUAUUUCUAUAUUUGCAUCAAUGCAGUUCUCUGAUAUAUAAAGACUAAGAAAGAAAGAUAUUGAGAGAGACAGACAGAUGGAAUGCAAUCAUUUAGGCCAGAAAGAUAGAAUAAAAUUAUGAGAUUUUAGAAAGAGAAUGAAUAUGAUAAAAAUAAAUGGAGCUAGAGAUAAUGAGGAAUUAUUAUUCUUUGCUUAUGGCCUGCCUGGGAUGACUUAGUUGGGUGUUAUUUUAACCAUUUAAUAGUAGUUUAUACACUAAAAGCACCAGAAAAAAACGAUCAGUUUCUAUAGCAUCUAAAUGUUGUCAGUGCAGGUCCAAAUAUCAGUAGUCAAAAUCAAAGUCACUGGAGAAAACUCUGAAAAACAAAAACAAAAGCAAAAGACUUGAUUUUGGGGUUUCCACUCUGGUACGGUGGGUUAAGGAUCCACUGUUGCCACAUCUAUGGCAGAGGUAACUGUGCCUCAGAUUUGGUCUCUGGCCUGGGAACUACCAUAUCCCGCAAGUAUGGCUAAAAAAGUACUUGAUUUUGAUAAUAUAAUUGACAAAGGAAACUGCAGUCAAAUAUGAGAGCUAAAGAAAGAGUAUGUGGAUAAGUAAAAUCCACUAGUGUCAUUUGGCUGCUUCCUCUUCCUUACCCUGGAAAAUUUCAUGAGGAUUGCUAACAAUAAAUCUUCAACAUUAUGUAAGCUUUAUUAACAUCCCCCUUAGUUAGUCUCCCUAAUUGGGAUUCCAGCAAUAAAUAAAGAAGAAGGAAGAUGCAUAAUGUAUUAAUAAUAUUCUGUCAAUUAAAAAUCCCUGGAAUAAUUCAACAUUGAAGGUGAUGAAGGCAUGGGAACAAAACUUGAAAGUGUGAGUAGGAAAUGUCUGUUCUGAUGAUGAUUCCCAACCAGCUUUUCGUUGAAGCCACAGCAGCUCCAUCCUAGUGGGGGAAAAAAUAUGCAGACAAUUUGACGGGAGUGGAAAGAGCACAAGAAAGUAUGAUGAAAGACCUAAAAUAUUACACAACAGAAGAGUAUUUACAGCCUGGCUAAAUAAAUGAAUGAACAUAUCAGUUAAUUUUGUUUUUAAAAGAGUAUAAAUGCUUCUAGGGAACGAGAUUUUCGGGGUGAUACUAAGGGCAAUUAUGAGAAAUCUUAGGACAAAAUGAAGAUUUCUUAUCAAGAAAAACUUUCUGGGAGUUUGAUCUGUCAAAAUGUAGGCAGCUUUCCAAUAGAAUUAAUAAGAAGUCCCUAAGACAUAAGGACAUUAGUAAGACACCCUUAGGAAACAGUCAUCGUGAGAUACAUUUAUUUCAUCCUUUUGCAGAGGAAUAGCAGAGUGGAACUGUUGUGUCUUUUCAUUUAUAAGUCAUCUUAGAGAAGACACUAGAGAACUCUUUGAGAAGCUCUAGGUCAGAUAGUUAAUACAUUCUGAUUUGGGGUUUCUGUCCCUUACUAGCUGUGAGCAAGGGCAAAUUACUUCAGCUUUCUCCACCUUAGUUUUACUGGUCUGUAAAGUGUACAUAGAUUUAUGGCACUUUAUCAGGGUAUUGUUAGUAUCAAUUUUAAAACCAUGUAAAAUUUUUUACCGUAUGUCUGUGGCUGUCAGUGUUCCAUGUGGGUAGCGAUUGGUUAGCCCAUUUCUUUAUAGGACUGUGGAAAGCAGGAUAUGUGACGUUUUUUUUUUUUGUCUGAAUCAAUGAGCUCUUUCUUGGGGGAAAAAAAUGAAAAAUUUUUGUAGUCAGAAUUUUUUUUUUUUUUUUUUUUAGUUUUCUGCUUUUUUUUUUUUUAAAGGAAAUGUAGUUGAUUUACAAUGUUAUAUUAGUUUCUGAUGUACAGCAAAGGGAUUCAGAUAUAUUUCUUUUCUUUUUCAUAUUCUUUUUCAUUAUGGUUUAUUACAAGAUAUUGAAUAUAGUUUACUAUGCUAUACAGUAGGACUUUGUUGUUUAUUUUGCAUAUAGUAGUGUGUAUCUGCUAAUCCCAAACUCCUAAUUUAUGCCUUCACCUCUUCCUUUUCCCCUUUGGUAAAUAUAAGUAUGUUUUCUAUGUCUGUGAGUCUGUUUCUGUUUUGUAAAGAAAUUCAUUUGUAUCAUAUUGAAGAUUUCACAUAUAAGUGAUAACUUAGGACUUCACAAGUGGAAGUUAAUCAGGAUGUCUUAUCUAUGAGAUUUACUCUAACAGUGCUGAUAUCUGUGAAAUAUAUUAUUAGACUGGGUCUUAUUACUUCAUUUAUAAUAUUGACAUCAAGUUGAAUAUUACUUUCGUUACUUGAGAUUAGCCUUUUCUUUUUUCUGAGAACAGUAUAAUUAUAUUACUAAUGAGACUCUGAGGGAUGAGGGUGUAAUAGACAUUCUCAUUGAAUUAUGAAUGUGCAGAAUUCAAGAGUUCUGUCAUUUGCAAGAAUUUCCAUGUUUCACUUUAGAUAGAGUCAGCUCCCUAUAGCAAUGGAGGCUUCAAAAGCCUUUGUUGGUUCUUUUGUCAUAUUUCCAGUCAAGGUUUUCCUACUUUUCUUCCUCCCAUCGAUUAUAAGCCCCUCCUGCCCUUUUCAGCAUCACCACAGCCCCUCUCAGCUGUAAAACUCAUCUGACUGUUCCAUAAAAUUCCUCUUGCCUCAUCCUUGUCUCAGCCCCCAGCUUGAAUUCUUCCCACUGUCCUUCAUACUGACCCAGCAGAGAUCUGUUCAGUUGUGUAAUUGUUUAUACGCUUGUGACGUGUUCUCGUGCACGUAUUUACUCUGUCCUAUUUAGAAUCAGAAGCUCCCAGGGAGAUAAAGCCCAUCUUCUCUUUCCCUAGUAAUCCCCAAAGCCCCUGCUGCCAUGCCAUGCCCACAGAAGGGAAGCAGUAAAUGUGAUAGAAUGGAUUGGACCCUCCUCUCCUCCCACAUUUGCCUUAGGUGGUCUCCCGCGGAGCCCUGUAUAAAGUAAUUGAGGCUUGGGAUUUGUGUUCUCAUUAUGUUAAUGGUUAUUGCUUCCUUUAUUUUUGAAAAACCAGUCCUUGGGCUCCAAGCUAAACAUGCUAUUUUCUGCAUCCCACCCAGCAAUUCUCACGGAGAAGCUGCCUCUCAGUUUUGGGCUCUCCUAGGCCAUCCUCCUUCCCCCAGUAGGAGAAGGAGAGAAGGAAGUUGCGGUAUUUACUCAGAGAUAGAGAGCCUUGAGCACCUAAGCCCAGGGGCUGCCUCUGGACCAAUAUUUCUGUUCAGCUGCUCCCAGGUUUUUCAACAAGAGCUGUCAGAAACCAAGUGCAUGCCUGAAGAGCAACUUCAUCUGUAAUUUCCAUUUCUUCCUACUCUCUGCUGUGUUUCUUGCUAUCUGGAAGCUUCUAGGCAGAGUAGCAGGCUGUUGGCAUCACUAACCCUUUUCCUCUCUCAAAUGCCAUAUUUUUCCUUGGAAUGUUAGUUUCUUUUUCAGAAAGUUCUAUUUUUGUAAAACUACCCAGAAAUCAAUGUUAGGCUUUCAGCUGUGAAAUUACUUCAAAGAAUGCAUUCUAGCAAAAAGAGGUGCCAUUCUUAGGAAGAGUUCAGAUGCUCUGUUUAUAGAGAAGAGCUCCUAAGAAUUGUAUGCUUAGCCAAAUAUUAAACACUUUUCUUUAUUUCUUCGACAUUAAUUUUUCUUCCUAGGUUUUUAGGGGAGAAGUUAAGGGCUCUGAGCCUGGUUCUUUCUCUAACUUGGUCAUUUGAGGAAAUUUCCUUUACAUGCAUGAACUUCCAUUUUCUCAUGUACAAAAUGAUGAGUAAUAUCAACUGAAAAAAAUACCCAACCUAAAAGUUGAGAAUUAUGUUUUAUUUGGACUUGCUGAGAACUUAAGCCUAGGAGACAGCUUUUCAGACAGCUCUGAGGGACCUCUCCAAAGAGGUAAGAGAGGAGGUAUGUCAGGAUAUGCAGGAGUUUUUUGGGGAAAAAAAAAUCCCAGGUAGUCAGAACAGCAAAAUAUUAUUGUUAACUAAAUAAAAAACAGAUAUCUCAAAUUAAUGAAUUUAGCACUUUUCUUUGUAUGGAAAGAUGCAAGAGCCUGGGCUCAUUGAAAUCAUUCAUUUGAUAUGCAUCUUAACUAUCUAGGGCCAGUAUCCUGUUUUCUCCAUCCUGAAUCCCCUAGGGUGGCUGCUGAUGGCUUGAUGGCUGCCACAUCCUUUGUUUACUGAUAUGGCAGGCAACAUUCUUCAUCCACACUAGAGUGCACAGAUAAAAUAGAUGUUCUUUAAAGCACUUUUCAAAUCUAAACUGUUAUGAUUCUACCAGUAAAUUCACAUCUUCUCAACACCACAUGAAACUUAGCAUUAGUGUUGCUGAAAAUAUGUUUGGGAAUAUAUCUAUUUCCAUGUGAAAAAGAAUUUUGAGUCAGUGUUCAAAACUUUAGUCAGGGUGACUUUCAUGUCCUUAGCUGAAGUAAGUAAAGUGGAACAUUCAUUAACAGGAGACUUAGGUAAUCCUUCUUUUAUCAAGAUUAAUCAGUUAUUUUUAAAUUAGUCAUUGCGAAUUGGCAUAGCCAAUUUGAUUGUUCUCAUUUAUCAGGUUAUUUUUGGUGACUAUCUUAGUCUGCGUUAAUUAGAAGAGCGUAAGAUGCAUAGGUCUCAUCUCCACACCAAGCCGUGAGGUACAAUGUGAUAGGAAAAGCACAUUUCAAACUGAAUUGUCAUUUUCCCCCGUCAACUGAAAAAAAUGCACAGCCUACAGGUUGGGAAUGAUGUUUUAGUCGGCAGACAUACUAAGGACUUAAGCCUGGAAGACAGCCUCUCAGAUAGCUCUGAGGGACUCUUCUUAAGAGCUAAGGGAGGAACCAGGAUAGAUAGGAAUUUUUAUAAAAAGAAAAAACAAGAAACAAAACAAAACAAAACAAAAACCCCAAAACAAACAGGUAGUCAGAACAUCAAAACAUUACUCUUAAUUAAUAGAAAGUCAGACAUCUCAAGUUAAUAACUUUAGCACUUUUCUUUGUAUGGGAAGAUGCAAGAGUCGGGGCUCAUUGAAAUCAUUCCUUUGAUAUGCAUCUUAACUAUCUGGGGUCAGUAUCCAGUGUUCUGCAUCCUGAAUCCCUUUGGGUGCAGCAUUGGGAUGACUGCAGUGGCUGAUAGCUUGAUGGCUGCAAUCAUCCUGUUUGCUGAUUUGGCCUAUAGCAUACUUCUUCCACAAACUGCAGUCUGUGGCUAUCAAGGAGGUACGAACUGCCAUCCAGCCCAUUUUUUAAUCUCCAUAGACUCUCAGAAAUCUGUCUUUUAGAAAUUCUUCUGUGUCUUACAUGAAAGAUUUAUGCCAUGUGGAUGUAGCAAUGUUUCUGAAGCAGGAUUAACUCCCUCUCUAGUCAGAAUUAGGUAACUGGUUCUAAAACUGACAGCGCUAAUGGCCUGAACCUAGCCGGAACCUAGAUUGGGACUUGAACCCAUGUGCCAGGACUUGAACCCAGUCUAAACCCAGAUUGGGACUCGAACCCAGAGUUUUUAAAUUAGAAUCACUCAUCUAAUGUAUACAUCUAAGGAUGACCUGACCCCCUUGCUGUACAGUGGG